rnacentral:lncRNA from 1 species
UUUCAGCAGUUUUGCCGUUGGGCGGGGGUCAUGAAAGAAGCGGUCUUGCACUCGGGGGAGGCUGCUGAACGACGGGAGCCGUACACCACUGAGUCGGCGAACGAUCUGCUCGAGACGCACGUCUACAGGCACCCGACAGAGACGCCAUCAGGACGACACCCUGUGUCGGGGGGCGAUGACGUUGUCUUGAGCCUCGUCCAAGGUGCUGCCCCCAUCACACCAGGUGUGGUCCCCGAUGUCUUGGUUCGGGGAACGAGGGAGAGCCGAGGAGUCCCCGGCGCGGGGGUCCCGGCCCCCCUCCUUCAGCUCCCGAGCCCAGACGCCCCGGCGGGGUGCGAGGCGGGCGAGAGUAGCGGACGGCGCCGCGGUCGCUCCGGUCUCCUCCUCGCGUUCCUGCUCCUUGCGGCCGUGGCGCUGAUCGCCAUCCUGGCCCUGUGCUCCUACGCCGCCCGCCUGAUAGCCCGAACUGCGGAGAGGAUGGGGACGUUCUGGAGCGGAGACGUGGAAAAGAAGUACCUCGACGAGAUGAGGCGGUGGACGGCUUUAGCGGCGCGGCUCCUCAACGGCUCGGCAGGGGACACCGCGCAGUGAGCAGCAUCGCGGCGUUGGGUCUCGGCGAGACGAGAAGACCUGCUGGGUUCUGCACAGGGCCUGUAGAAUGUGUCCCUGGGGCCAGUGCUGGGAUUAGUGGAGGUGUGAUGGGGGGGGGGGGUCAUUGCAUCAUUAAAACACCUGCAAUUAAAUCUGAUUAGACAUCUUUCAUUAAAUCUCUCUCUGUCACUCAUACACUCACUCACACACACACACGGAGUGACUUGCACCAGUAAGUACCAUGGCGGGUGGCGUCGUGGUCACGCCAGUCGCCUUCCGCUCGAAGGGCUCCCCCCUUGAUCGAGGCAUUUGCCCCGAAUCGCUCCUGCAAAAUGCACAGCUGCGCAACACGGUAAAUCGCUGCAAGGAGCUCGGCGCCCAACACCGUGCGUCGCUGUGGAGAAAAGCGGCAACUAGAUGAAAAAAUCGGGUUCCGAGCAGCAGGGAGCAGGAGAGCGAAGAAUCCGCCGUCCACAGAGAUCCCACCGUGGUAAAGUUUACAGUGGUAGAGCGCUGGGGUUUUACCGCUUCCUCUUUUCCUUCCUUCAGAGGUGCAGUUGUAGCCUUUUACUUUACCAGCAGAUGGCAAAAUUUCACCACUGAAAUUCCAUACUUCAAAUUUACUCUGUUUCCUUCUUCAUCACAAGUUUCCCAGAAACUAACAAGGUUUAUGAAUGGGGGGGUGGGGGUUGGGGGGGGGGGGGUUGCCUUCUUUUGCUUUGAUGGGGAAACAUAUUGACACCACGAGUCUAUAGCCUGUAUUGUUAAUCAGAAAUGUUUCAAUUUGCUUCUUAUGUCAAUAAACAUUCUGCAGAGUCGCUACCUACUGCUGAU